rnacentral:tRNA from 1 species
UCAAAACUGACUAAUAUAUUUUUAAUCAUUUUCUCAAUGUAAGUGAGAUACAUUAAUUUAUGUUAAGUUUUG